GGAGUGGGUUGCCAUUUCCUUCUCCAAUGCAGGAAAGUGAAAAGUGAAAGUGAAGUCGCUCAGUCAUGUCCGACCCUCAGCGACCCCAUGGACUGCAGCCCACCAGGCUCCUCCGUCCAUGGGAUUUUCCAGGCAAGAGUACUGGAGUGGGGUGUACUGGAGUGGAGGAGUACUGGAGUGGGGAGUACUGGAGUGGGGUGUACUGGAGUGGGGUGUACUGGAGUGGAGGAGUACUGGAGUGGGGUGUACUGGAGUGGAGGAGUACUGGAGUGGGGUGUACUGGAGUGGAGGAGUACUGGAGUGGGGUGCCAUUGCCUUCUCGGAACAGGGCCUUGCCCCCUCCCAUUCCAGAGUCG
ensembl:lncRNA